UACGGAGGGGGCAAGCGUUGUCCGGAAUCAUUGGGCGUAAAGAGCGCGUAGGCGGCCCUGUAAGUCCGCUGUGAAAGUCAAGGGCUCAACCCUUGGAUGCCGGUGGAUACUGCAGGGCUAGAGUCCGGAAGAGGCGAGUGGAAUUCCUGGUGUAGCGGUGAAAUGCGCAGAUAUCAGGAGGAACACCGAUGGCGAAGGCAGGUCUCUGGGCCGAUACUGACGCUGAGGAGCGAAAGCGUGGGGAGCGAACAGG
rnacentral:rRNA from 1 species